UGCCCAGAGAAGUAGUGGAUACCCCAUCCCAAGAGACAUUCAAGAUCAGCCUGGAUGGGCCUCUGAGCGUCUGUUCAAGCUGUAGUUUGGACUAAUCCCUUCCAACUCAAAUGAUUUUAUGAUUCUAUGACUUCCACCUAAUUCAGACCCUAUGUGAAUGUGCAGUGGGCAUAUAGUAGGUUUCAUUUCAUCAAAGUAAAACAAAACUGGGGUUAGAACCAUUAUUAAAAAAAAAUAUUAUGAAAUGUAAACAGAAGUAUAUCAAGAACAAUUCUGUCUUUUACUUAAAAAUAAAUAGAUGAAGCUUAAAAUUUAGGCACUGAAUUGAAAAACACAGAUAAAAAAGACUAACUUAUUUUUCAGAAUCUGGAUGAAAUAAAAAGUAUCGGCAUUUCUACCAAAUUCAGCAUCACUGUUCUGGAUUAUUACAGUUAAGGAAUUGCCCCAUCAUCUGCAGGAGUACAUGUCAGGACUGUUAGUUUGGAAUUAGCUAACAUUCAUUAUCUAUGAACUUGUAUAAUCCCAUAAAGAUCACAGAAUCAUGUUGACACCUUUGCCUCAGUUAGGUUGACCCACAAGACACAAGACCUUCUCUUUUGGUGGUACAUGCUGAAGGCUCUAUUACUCUGAAGGUUGUUAACAGGCAGAAGCUUUUGCCAAGGAGAUGGGAGUUGGCAUUUCUUAGAGAGCUCUACAAUUCACUUGAGGAAAAGAGGCCUAUCCUGGAAAUGAAUUUCAUUUAUGCUGGCUCAAGAGAAAGGCACCUCCAUUAAGAGCAGGAACAGUUUUGGAACCUUAACUUGAAGUUCUGUCCAGCUCCAGGGCAAACCAGACCCCAUCUCUUAAUGGGCUUAACACCUAUGAGCUCUGCUCAGCUGCUCUCUGUAUCAAGAUAGACACGUCAGCAUCCAGAGCCAGCAGCUGCCCCUCCCUUCCCUGGGCAUCAUCCUGGUUUGGUGAGGUCAGUUCAACUCCACCGCAGCCAAAAUCCAAGACGCAAUCAGCCAUCCCACACAAUGGACACUGCCAGAACUCCGCUCUGACGUCAGAGUUCAAUUCAUCCCAGUCUCAGAGGUAUGGACUGCCGUGCAUGGUGGAAUGGGAACAGACAAUCUGGAAUCAUACCUUGCUGAGGUACCUAGGGAGCUGGAAGCUUGUGAAAACUGAGCUCUGCUUUGCUUUUAUCACCCCAGAAUUUCCUGUCUAGCCAUGCAUAUGUCUUAGCAUCUUGUUUGUAUGCACAGGCUAACACUUGAUUUUAUGCCAUGCUGUGGGACAUGCAAAGCUUCUCUCCAUUCUUCCACAAGGAAGCAGGAACAAUGAAACCAAUGGAUAAAUAAAUAGAAAUUGAGUAUCCUUGAAUGGUUAAAAGCAAAGAAACACUCCUUUUACAUCCUGCAUGAGUGAUGCAAGUCUGGAGCAAUUAGCUAUGUAUUAUCAUCAUUCUCUGCAUUAAUUUAUUGUUGCACUGUAAGGUUUGUUCUAAUAUCAUCAUUUUCAUUGCUCUGUUACUCACAG
rnacentral:lncRNA from 7 species